CUUUGUUCCAGUGAAAACAGCUUGUUUUGCUCAACAACAAAGAUCCGCCUGGAACAAAUGCUGUACUCGCCUCAGUAUGACAUCAGCAGAAAAAAACGUUAUGUUUAAAUGAGUCUCUUAAGACUCAUGGUGACAAAAGCUGCCAUGCCCUUCCCCAGUGACAUCAUGGUUAAUAAUAUGGCUGCAGAUUAUACUGUGUCAGUGUGAACUGUGUCUCCCCAGGAAAAUUAUACACCGGAGAGAAGGUCAAGCACACCUAACACACAGUCAGCAGACAUGCAGGCUACUGAACCAUCCACUGUGAAUACUAUCCCUCUUCUCUGCAAAAACUCGGAGCACAAUGGUUGGAUCCGUUACUGUUAUACAAGAACUGGUGGUUGUUAAUGAUCAGGUUGGAAGCUGCUGAAAUGACAACCUUUGCCCCGUCAGAGUAAACAUAACCUCCCGUGGCCCUGAAGGCAUGAACAUAGUGACAAUACUCAGACGGGCUGUCACAUUCUCAUCGUGUCUGACAGCGCAAAGUGUGUCAAGAAAACAUUCCCCAUGUACCAUCACAACACCAGCAGCCGCCUGUUGUCCCCUGUUGGCUCCAUGGAUUCAUGCUGUUGACUCUUAAA